UCUCUUUUCUCUCCUCGGUGGACAGCAGUCCACGAGUUCUUCCUUCUUCUUUCUUUCUUCUUUUCUCUUCUAUCUUCUUCCCUCUUCUCUGUUCUACCCACCUGAACACACAGAGAGAUUGAGAGUCAGAGAGAGACCGAGUAAGAGGGAGAGCUGAGAGAGAGAUUCAGGGAGAUUGAGAGGGAAAGAGAGACAGAGAGCGUGAGAUAGAGGGAGAAUCAGAGAUCGGGAGAGAGAGAACCGGCGAGCCCGGAACCUAGGGAACGCCGACGACUCGAUUUCCGGCUGAUGCUACCGGUGGGUCAACUCCGGUGGUGCCUCGGACGUGGAACCCGACGAAUCCAGAAGCUUAGACCCGCGACCCGUGAGCUGAACCCGACAAAUUCGGGAGGACCCGUGCGAUCCUAUCUUCAAUGGCGAGGUCCGAUGCGAUUUCCGGUGUUUGGAGGCCGAUUUCCGGCAGUUCUAGUGGAUUUCCGACGAAGACCCGUUGAACCACGAAGAUCCACAACCCAUUGAACCCGAGAGUGAAACCCGUGACCCGUGUGUGCAACCCGUGACUGUGAGACCCAGAACCCGGUUCUCUAUGGGUGUUUUCCGGCGACUGUCAGUGGUGUUUUCCGGCGGAUUUGUUGAGGAAAAUCCCCAAGGAUAGUGUCCGGAUUGGAUACUUCAAUGGGCACUCCAAUGUUGAGUUCGAGUCAAGAGUCCAAUGCAGCCAAGAUGAUGUUUCUUUGGCUGCAGGUAUCUCGGUAUAGUUGAUGGGUUGGUAGCAGCGUACUUGGAAUAUUAUGACUGAAGCUCGCCGCGACAGUUGUAAUUGUCGGACCAUGGGUUGUCCACUAUUUUAUAGGUUUGGUAUGGCUUGUGACGUUUGUGUCAUUUAUUCUUUGUUAAGCCAUUAUUGUUAUGUAAAUAUUGUGUUAAUAAGACUCAAACAGAUAGAUGUUAAAUGGCUCAACGUUGUAAUUAAUUUAUGAUAGAUGUAUAAGUUGUAAUUUUCGCAA